AGCCAAAGACACCAGGAUAUAUACCUUGGAGCAGGCUAUAGACAUCACCUUUAUGCGAUUCGAUGCAGAGUGGAUGGAGCUGCCUUUCGGCAGAGAAAGAUAGGCGUUGAUGUGUUUAUAGAGAUGGAUUGAAUAAAUUCAUCGUCAAACAAAAUAAGAGACAACGUAUAUAGAACUCUUGAUUGCUGUGUAUAUAUACUACAUGCUAAUCAGGGUAACUUAUGUAUGUAGAUGUCUGGUGGAAAAGAUAUGUGGAAUAAGAAGGAUCAGAUCCAUACCUCCGAGCUAAUAUCGAGGCCAACAGCUGAAAUAGAAGCUUACCAAGAACCAAAAUCAGACGAGGUGGCUAUAGUGGAAAACGUAGCAUCAGAUCCAGAAAUGGUGGAUUUGACAGAUAGUGAUUCAAACACUAAAGUUAAAGCUGCUCAAGCAUCAACGAAAGUGCAGGAUCUGGAGAACAAGGUUUCUUCACUAGAAAGGUUGUGGGAGAUAGAAAAGUUGCUUAAUAUUCAACUGCGAAAAGCAUUAAAAGAAACAAUGGAAGAGCAAGAUAAGCUCAAAAUCCAAAUUGACCAGAU
rnacentral:lncRNA from 1 species